CCAAUAGCGUAUAUUAAAGUUGUUGCAGUUAAAAAGCUCGUAGUUGAAUUUCGGAAUCUGUCCGUUGGUCGGGCUUCAUUGUCCGUACUGGUGUGAUGGGUUCUUACCUUCUGAAUAACCAGCAUGCCAUUCAUUUGGUGCGUUGGGGAAGCAGGACUAUUACCUUGAAAAAAUUAGAGUGCUCAAAGCAGGCUAGUGCCUGAAUACAUUAGCAUGGAAUAAUAAAAUAGGACGGCAUGGUUCUAUUUUGUUGGUUUCUAGGAUCACCGUAAUGAUUAAUAGGGAGAGUUGGGGGCAUUAGUAUUCAAUUGUCAGAGGUGAAAUUCUUGGAUUUAUUGAAGACUAACUUCUGCGAAAGCAUUUGCCAAGGAUGUUUUCAUUAAUCAAGAACGAAAGUUAGGGGAUCGAAGACGAUCAGAUACCGUCGUAGUCUUAACCAUAAACUAUGCCGACUAGGGAUCGGACGAUGUUAAUUUUUUAAUGACUCGUUCGGCGCCUUACG
rnacentral:rRNA from 1 species